rnacentral:rRNA from 1 species
CAAGUCGAGCGGUAACAGGUGUAGCAAUACAUGCUGACGAGCGGCGAACGGGUGAGUAAUGCUUCGGAAUCUACCCAAUGGUGGGGGAUAACCAGCCGAAAGGUUGGCUAAUACCGCAUACGUCCUACGGGAGAAAGCAGGGGAUCGUAAGACCUUGCGCCAAUGGAUGAGCCGAAGCCGGAUUAGCUAGUUGGUAGGGUAACGGCCUACCAAGGCGACGAUCCGUAGCUGGUCUGAGAGGACGACCAGCCACACUGGGACUGAGACACGGCCCAGACUCCUACGGGAGGCAGCAGUGGGGAAUAUUGGACAAUGGGGGAAACCCUGAUCCAGCGACGCCGCGUGUGUGAAGAAGGCCUGCGGGUUGUAAAGCACUUUUAGUGGGGAUGAAAUGUGCAGGGCUAAUACCUCUGCAUUUUGACCUAACCCACAGAAAAAGCACCGGCUAACUCUGUGCCAGCAGCCGCGGUAAUACAGAGGGUGCAAGCGUUAAUCGGAAUUACUGGGCGUAAAGCGUGCGUAGACGGUUACAUAAGUCGGGUGUGAAAGCCCCGGGCUCAACCUGGGAAUUGCAUUCGAGACUGCGUAGCUAGGGUGCGGAAGAGGGAAGCGGAAUUUCCGGUGUAGCGG